GAAACAGCUUUUUUUAAAGCUAUAAAUAAAAUUAAAUAAGUGUUA
rfam:Tupaia chinensis contig8773, whole genome shotgun sequence.